GGAAAGAUGGCAGAGUGGUCGAUUGCGCUGGUCUCGAAAACCGGUGAACGGGUAACCGUUCCGGGGGUUCGAAUCCCCCUUUUUCCG
rnacentral:tRNA from 1 species